rnacentral:rRNA from 1 species
AACGAACGCUGGCGGCAGGCUUAACACAUGCAAGUCGAACGCACCUUUCGGGGUGAGUGGCAGACGGGUGAGUAACGCGUGGGAAUCUCCCCUUCUCUACGGGAUAGCUCCGGGAAACUGGAAUUAAUACCGUAUACGUCCUGAGGGAGAAAGAUUUAUCGGGGAAGGAUGAGCCCGCGUUGGAUUAGCUAGUUGGUGGGGUAAAGGCCUACCAAGGCGACGAUCCAUAGCUGGUCUAAGAGGAUGAUCAGCCACAUUGGGACUGAGACACGGCCCAAACUCCUACGGGAGGCAGCAGUGGGGGAUAUUGGACAAUGGGCGCAAGCCUGAUCCAGCCAUGCCGCGUGAGUGAUGAAGGCCCUAGGGUUGUAAAGCUCUUUCAGUGGGGACGAUAAUGACGGUACCCACAGAAGAAGCCCCGGCUAACUUCGUG